AUUGAACGCUGGCGGCAUGCCUUACACAUGCAAGUCGAACGGCAGCGCGGGGCAACCUGGCGGCGAGUGGCGAACGGGUGAGUAAUAUAUCGGGAACAUACCCUAGAGUGGGGGAUAACGUAGCGAAAGUUACGCUAAUACCGCAUACGCACUAAGGUGGAAAGUGGGGGAUUCGCAAGAACCUCAUGCUCAUGGAGUGGCCGAUAUCUGAUUAGCUAGUUGGUGAGGUAAAGGCUNACCAAGGCAACGAUCAGUAGCUGGUUUGAGAGAACGACCAGCACACUGGAACUGAGACACGGUCCAGACU
rnacentral:rRNA from 1 species